CCUUUGAUAGCUCAGUUGGUAGAGCGGAGGACUGUAGAUCCUUAGGUCGCUGGUUCGUAUCAGGCUCGAAGGA
rnacentral:tRNA from 1 species